CGCCUCCGCCUGCUGAUCUCAUGUCUCCUUUUUAACGAUACUCCGGGAAGCAGCAUCUUUCUCCUUCAUUUGCCGCAAGUUCAGGCGAGAGCCUCGUGCAAGGAGAUGAUGCCCACGACCAUACCGAACACUACUCCGAGCGUCAUCACCAAGGCCAAACUAUUCUGUCCCGAUUGAAGAAGCUUUGGAAGGUUACUUGCAAUUUGACGACGACAAAUCUUGGCAAUUUGAUAGCAUUAGGCACCGACUUUGACAUGGAUAUUGUUUACGAGGCGCUCACCGGCUUGGUGGGGUAAACUUUUAAAGCCAAAAGGACGAAGUGAUGGCAUAUUCAUGACUCGACACUCCGUUACAUACACCGGUUCUUGGCAUACAACUAUUACUGACGUAAUGAUACAACUACACAUACUGCUUGAAUAAGAUGCACAGUGUUUGGAUACGAUAGGACUUCUCGUCGGUACUCCCAAUGCACCAUAUAUCAUUCCUUCCGACACCAUUACACCUCGCAGUGCACAAGUAUUUCUUUGGAGGACUGCACCACAACUGGCACCAGCAGAGCCACUGUAGUUGGACAUGCAUAACGAGAUCCAUAAAAUGCACGGACGACUUGACUCCAUCAAAACCAACCUUGUCAAGAUCAUCUCUUACCUUUGCCUGAGCACAUCUCGACGCAGCCGCGGCUGUAGUCGUCACUAGAUCUGGGAGUGUUUCUAUUCCGUCUCUUGUGCUUUUAUUUACAUAUUGGAACAAUAUGAUUUUAGUGAGGGUAGAAAUUGCAUCAAAUUUUUCCUUGCUUAUUUGAUUUGCUGAAAUUGAGCUUUCUUGAUUUAACUAUGUUGGAACUUCUUGUUGCCUAUCCUAUAUUUUACUUUGUUUCUUUGAUUUCCUUAUGAAUUGUGAUCUUGUUUUUGUUGGAAUUUAGGUUGCAUGAUAGCGGAUUGGCAUGACUAUUGAUUUUCUUUAAAAUUUUACUUGACAUUCCAUUUAUUUGUUAAUUAAUUUGUUGCAUGACUUAGUACAUAUUUCACCUUUUCAUAUAAGUUUUGAGCCUAACGAGCAUAUUCUUUCAUUUUUUUUUCUCUUUGAUUCAUUGAGUGUGUCGAACUAGUUCUUUACAUUCUAGAACUUGUAGCGUAAUACUUGUUGAGACUACAUGCAUGGAGAUGAUGUUUUAGUGUGAUAGGGACACUUAGGAUUAGCCAUUUUCCUUUCCUAAAAAUUUCCUACCCUUUGUUGAUUUUCCCUUAGAUAAACCAAUUUUGAGCCUUAUACCUUUUCUUUGUUUUACCCCACUAAUAACCCAAGCCAUUUUUGUUUUACCCUCUUUUGUCAACUUUUCAGGACAAAGGUAGAUUUAUUUCAGGAAACUAAUUUUAGGAAGAAUGAAUUGUUUGGAAAAAAAAAAGAUUGUGCAGUGCACAA